CUGGCCAGGUGAGGCUUUGCCACAGGGCUGCCAUUAAAGAUGGUGCUUGGUGAAGGGGGCGGGGCCUGCAGCCGUGAGCCAAUGGUGGGAGCUGACCAGUGGGCGCGGUCUCUGCCCCUCCCCCAGGCUGCACAACCACGCCUCCACCAUCCGCCAGGCUGUCCUUGCCUCAUUGGACGAUCCCAGGACGCACACCCCGGACAUAGGCGGGCAGGGAACGACCUCCGGCGCCGUGCAGAGCAUCCUCAGCCACCUCCCCCACGCUUAAUAUGGGCAUGUGGGCGGGGCCAGAUGGGGUAGGCGUGGCCUGGCCUGUGCGGGCAUGGUGUGGCAUUCCCACGUGACAGCCGUGGGCGUGGCUUGAGCCACGUGGGUGGAGCCAGGGCCCUUGUGGGCAGGGCCUGAACCGUGUGGGAGUGGCUCAACUCAAUGGGCAGGGCCAGCAGAAGCUGUAGCAUCAAAGCUGCCCACGCCUAAUUAAAAUAAAGUAAUUAAACAUUCA